rnacentral:rRNA from 1 species
AUUGAACGCUGGCGACAGGCUUAACACAUGCAAGUCGAGCGGGGGAAGGUAGCAUGCUACCGGACCUAGCGGCGGACGGGUGAGUAAUGCUUAGGAAUCUGCCUAUUAGUGGGGGACAACAUCUCGAAAGGGAUGCUAAUACCGCAUACGUCCUACGGGAGAAAGCAGGGGAUCUUCGGACCUUGCGCUAAUAGAUGAGCCUAAGUCGGAUUAGCUAGUUGGUGGGGUAAAGGCCUACCAAGGCGACGAUCUGUAGCGGGUCUGAGAGGAUGAUCCGCCACACUGGGACUGAGACACGGCCCAGACUCCUACGGGAGGCAGCAGUGGGGAAUAUUGGACAAUGGGGGGAACCCUGAUCCAGCCAUGCCGCGUGUGUGAAGAAGGCCUUAUGGUUGUAAAGCACUUUAAGCGAGGAGGAGGCUACUCUAGUUAAUACCUAGGGAUAGUGGACGUUACUCGCAGAAUAAGCACCGGCUAACUCUGUGCCAGCCGCCGCGGUAA